ensembl:lncRNA
UAUACAUAUUAUAAAAUGCAUAAAAAUAAGUAAACAUAUUGCAGGUGCCUGCUCAAAACUCUUCUGAUAGGGUUCUAAGAAGAAAUACUGUGAAACCCAGCAGAUUGGUGAACCCUGUGCCUCCAUCACCUGUGCUUUCUCUGGACUGGGAUAUGUCAUUUCAACCUGACAUGAAGUUGUGGGUAGAAAUUCUUUGGAAUGCCACACCUAUGUUAAAGAGUUGAAAGUGUGAGUUUUGUUUUGGUCGAAAGAUCCUUCCUUUUCACCAUGAGGGAAUAGCAUGAGAUUUACACACAUAAAAUUUUUUUGACAUAUAAAUUCACCCAAGACAUCCGCAGUGUGUGAAACUGUCUGUCCGAAGCACUGAGUGGGUGCCAUGGGCCUCUCUUUCAAGCUUGUUCUGGGCCAUCAAGAUGGAGCAAGUGCCUGCAAGUCACCCCAUUGGAGCCCUGGAUUCACAGAGACUCUGUGCCCAGCUCACUCUGUGUCUCCCUCCUCCCUCUAACUCACUCAUCUCCCUGCAGCGGCUGCCUGGGUCCUGGACAAAUGGCCUGUCCAGGGUGGUAGGAGUGGCAGCGGAGACUCCAUGCUCCAGGGGGUCUGAGAGACAAGGAGGGGCUUGGACUUCACGCAGGUUUAGCCCCACCCACUGGCGGAGGAGCUACAACUCACAUGACUCUCAUGGCCUCCGGUUCCUCCUCUUCUUUGUGAAAAGGAGAAAAAAUAAUGGUUUUUAGUAUAGGCUAUACUCAGAUCUGACUCUACUCUUUACCAGCUCUGACCCUUGGGCAUGUACCUUUCCUUCUUUGGGCUUCAUGCCUCCUCACAGUGUUCUGAGAUGCAAUUCAGAAAAUGCGACCUCUGAGAGUAAGCGCAAACCCAUCUUGCUAUAUGGAGGCAAGUGUUCUUCUUCAGUGCAUGGGACUGUGUUGAUUUGGACUACUGAUCCAGUGCCCUUGAAGAACGUGACUCUGGAACCAGAGUUUUGGGUUGGAUCCCAGCUCUGCUAUUUAAUAGUAGUGUGACCUUGCAAAUAACAUUAACACCACUGUCACUGAAGUCAUCAGUUCCUAGCACCAGGCCUUCUCAGAAACAGUGCUCUCAUAGCAAGGAAGCAAGGGCUUCAGAACCUGGGACCCACCUCCUAACCUGCUUUGUCUUCCAUAUGAAAUAAGCAACACUGGCUGGGCAACGGGUCUCACCCCCUAGGUGACGGCGUGACGCGUAGUGGAAGAAUUCUGGGUUGUUUGGGAGGUGGAACUUUUGGGUCUUGACUUUGGAUACUUGUUAACUUCCCUCACUUUCAGACUCUUCCUUUGAAGGAGCACCCAGCCAACCGGCUUCACGGGGUUGUUGUGAUGGUCACUGUGGAUGGAGGUACUUUGUAAAUGGCACAGCGCUGUACAGGCAUAGACCAUAAUAUUAUUGUCACUGACCCUGUGACCUUGAAUACUAACUCCUGGGCUCUGAGAGGCUAAUUUUGAGGUUGUCUAUUCCAAAUAAAACAUUCUACUCAGCCUCCUACAACGUCUUUUUGUUUCUGCCUUUCACCGAGGUAAACCAGAUACCCAUUUUCUCUUGGAGAAAGCUCUCCUGGAGCUUUCCUGAAAGGCUCUCCUGGAGCUUGGAGCUCUCCUCAGAGGCCCUGGGGUAGUGCAGGAGCAACAUUCUCUUCUGGAAAGGCACCUGCAAAGGCUCCUUUUUGAGGGGAGCUUUAUGUGGGUGGCUCUGAGAAGGAGACAAAAUGUGGCCUGGUGAAUCACUCGCAGAAAGAAUUACGGAGGCCCAAGGAAGGACCUAGAGCAGAAGCAUCUUGAAAACACCCAGGACAUACGUAUGGGCAAGAAGACGUGGAAGAUCUGUCCUGUGGGAAUUGUUGCUCGCUUUGGGAACAUAGCUACUAAACCCCAGAAAUCUCGCUCCUUCAUCAUCUCGGGAAUAUAAUCGGAAUUCCUCUCAUGAGCUUUCUUUUCCUCACCCAGGUCCUUGACUAUUUCUAGACGGCCAUAUUAGUGGUUUUGGGUGCACCGGAGGUGAGGCCACUGUGUGAGGUCCUUGAACACAAAGCACUGUUUGACAAGCGACAUCCAAUCCUAACAUCUUCCUCAGCCCACUGUCUGCUCCUCACCUCCCCAUGUUUCAGGGGCUGAUCCCAUGGCCAUGCCUGUGAAGGGUUGGUGGCCCUCGAUCACCAGAUUAUGGAAGAGGAGCCUGCUCUGAGAUCGGCGUGGUCUGGCUCAAGAGUGCAUGCUCCCAGCCUUGACCUCAGCCUGUGGGUCACGUGUCUCUGAGAGCCCAGGGAACCGCUGCUAUAUUUGGGCAUUUGUACUUCCUUACAUCGCAUCCACUACCAUAUUUGGCCUUGUUCUAUGUACUAGAUGUGGACAAGUAUCACUAUCUCCAUUUAAAGAAAGCUUGAUUGAGGUAUAAUUGACAUGCAGUAAACCACACAUGUUUAAAGCAUGCAGUUUGAUAAGUUUGGACAUGUGUAUACACCUGUGCACCAUUCCCACAUGAACAUAUCCACCAUCCCUCAAAGUCUCCUCCUGUCCUUUAUAAUCCCACCUUUCCCUGCGCUGGCCCCUUCUGCAUUUUAUGAAAGAGCAAGCCGAGUUUUCUGGGCAGCUGGAGCAAGAAUACAGAUGGCCUGACUCUUCCCU